rnacentral:rRNA from 1 species
AUACGUAGGGGGCAAGCGUUGUCCGGAAUUACUGGGCGUAAAGGGUGCGUAGGCGGCAUGUUAAGUUGGAUGUGAAAUACCCGGGCUCAACCUGGGGGGUGCAUCCAAAACUGGCAAGCUAGAGUGCAGGAGAGGAAAGCGGAAUUCCUAGUGUAGCGGUGAAAUGCGUAGAUAUUGGGAGGAACACCAGUGGCGAAGGCGGCUUUCUGGACUGUCACUGACGCUGAGGCGCGAAAGCCAGGGGAGCGAACGGGAUUAGAUACCCCGGUAGUCCUGGCUGUAAACGAUGGGUACUAGGUGUUGGGGGUAUCGACCCCUCCAGUGCCGCAGUUAACGCAAUAAGUACCCCGCCUGGGGAGUACGGCCGCAAGGUUGAA